rnacentral:misc_RNA from 1 species
GCAAACUUGGUCAUUUAGAGGAAGUAAAAGUCGUAACAAGGUCUCCGUUGGUGAACCAGCGGAGGGAUCAUUACUGAGUGUUACAACUCCCAAACCCUUUGUGAACAGUACCAUUCGUUGCUUCGGCGGACCGCCCCGGCGCCUCGCGCGCCGGACCCAGGCGUCCGCCGGGGGCCCGAAACUCUUGCAUGUCAGUGGAAUUCUCUGAGUGGCACAAGCAAAUAAAUCAAAACUUUCAACAACGGAUCUCUUGGUUCUGGCAUCGAUGAAGAACGCAGC